UGUCAUUGGUAAACAUCCUUAGAUGGCAUCAGUCAAAUAAGUCCAGUACUAUGUUGCAUGUUCCCUGUGACCCUAAUUUCUAAACUCUCCAGAAAAAACUCCAUUCAGCUGAGUUCUGUGCGCUCAAUGGCAUGAUCACUGAAAUGUGCAACCUUAUACAGGAGGGAUACGGAGCAGGAGAGACUGAAAGAAAGCAACUUGCACAGAGAAGUCCCUCUCCUAGCAGAUUUGGAAACAUCUCUCACAAAAACACGGUAAGGACACUGUGUCUCAUUGCUCUAUUAGCUUUUCAUUUGCUGCAGCUUGCAAAAUGAAAUAACUGUGUAACAAACUAUUUUAUUUCCUUAUUAGAAGCAAAGUAUUGGAAUCA
rnacentral:lncRNA from 1 species